rnacentral:rRNA from 1 species
CCUACGGGUGGCAGCAGCGAGGAAUAUUGGUCAAUGGACGGAAGUCUGAACCAGCCAUGCCGCGUGCAGGAAGACGGCUCUAUGAAUUGUAAACUGCUUUUGUACAAGGGUAAACCUGAAUACGUGUAUUCAGCUGAAAGUACUUUACGAAUAAGGAUCGGCUAACUCCGUUCCAGCAGCCGCGGUAAUACGGAUGAUCCAAGCGUUAUCCGGAUUUAUUGGGUUUAAAGGUUGCGUAGGCGGAUUGAUAAGUUAGAGGUGAAAUGUCCGAGCUUAACUCGGGAACUGCCUCUAAUACUGUUGGUCUAGAGAGUAGAUGCGGUAGGCGGAAGGUAUGGUGGAGCGGUGAAAUGCUUAGAGAUCAUACAGAACACCGAUUGCGAAGGCAGCUUACCAAUCUAUAUCUGACGUUGAGGCACGAAAGCGUGGGGAGCAAACAGGAUUAGAUACCCGAGUAGUC